UACAGAGGGGGCUAGCGUUAUUCGGAAUUAUUGGGCGUAAAGGGCGCGUAGGCGGCCAUGCGUGUCUUCCGUGAAAUCCCUCGGCUUAACUGAGGACGUGCGGAAGAAACUGCAAGGCUCGAGUCCGGGAGAGGGGGGUGGAAUUCCCAGUGUAGCGGUGAAAUGCGUAGAUAUUGGGAGGAACACCGGUGGCGAAGGCGGCCCCCUGGACCGGUACUGACGCUGAGGAGCGAAAGCAUGGGGAGCGAACAGG
rnacentral:rRNA from 1 species